rnacentral:misc_RNA from 1 species
GAAAUGCGAUAAGUAAUGUGAAUUGCAGAAUUCAGUGAAUCAUCGAAUCUUUGAACGCACAUUGCGCCCGCCAGUAUUCUGGCGGGCAUGCCUGUUCGAGCGUCAUUACAACCCUCAGGCCCCCGGGCCUGGCGUUGGGGAUCGGCGGAAGCCCCCUGCGGGCACAACGCCGUCCCCCAAAUACAGUGGCGGUCCCGCCGCAGCUUCCAUUGCGUAGUAGCUAACACCUCGCAACUGGAGAGCGGCGCGGCCACGCCGUAAAACACCCAACUUCUGAAUGUUGACCUCGAAUCAGGUAGGAAUACCCGCUGAACUUCAGC